rnacentral:rRNA from 1 species
AUUGAACGCUGGCGGCAGGCCUAACACAUGCAAGUCGAGCGGAUGAAGGGAGCUUGCUCCUGGAUUCAGCGGCGGACGGGUGAGUAAUGCCUAGGAAUCGGCCAGGUAGUGGGGGAUAACGUCCGGAAACGGGCGCUAAUACCGCAUACGUCCUGAGGGAGAAAGUGGGGGAGCUUCGGACCCCAGGCUAUCAGAUGAGCCUAGGUCGGAUUAGCUAGUUGGUGGGGUAAAGGCCUACCAAGGCGACGAUCCGUAACUGGUCUGAGAGGAUGAGCAGUCACACUGGAACUGAGACACGGUCCAGACUCCUACGGGAGGCAGCAGUGGGGAAUAUUGGACAAUGGGCGAAAGCCUGAUCCAGCCAUGCCGCGUGUGUGAAGAAGGUCUUCGGAUUGUAAAGCACUUUAAGUUGGGAGGAAGGGCAGUAAGUUAAUACCUUGCUGUUUUGACGUUACCAACAGAAUAAGCACCGGCUAACUUCGUG